rnacentral:lncRNA from 1 species
CUGAGUCUCCGCAGUAGGGACCGAGAUCAAUCCAGACUCUGACGUCCCUGCCAGGGCCUUCCAGGACUUGCUGACCGCUGUCUGCUGGUCCUCCCACUGGAGGUCAGCGUACGUAGCGGACAUGGACUCCCAGGUAAAAACCCGGCCUGGGUCAUUUCAUAAGACCUUUUCCUAUUGGUCAUGUUCACAAUAAUCCUUUUCCUAUUGGUCAUGUUCAAAAUGACCUUUCCUAUUGGUUCAUGUUCACAAUGACCUUUUUUCCUAUUGGUCAUGUUAACAAGACCUUUUCCUAUUGGUCAUGUCACAAUGACCUGUUCCUAUGGUCAUGUUCACAAUGACUUUCCCUAUUGGUCAUGUUCACAAUAACCUUUUCCUAUUGGUAGAUGUUCACAAUGACCUUUUCCUAUGGUCAUGUUCACAAUGACUUUUCCUUUGUCAUGUUCACAUGACCUUUUCUCCUAUUGGUCACGGUAACUGACCUUUUUCCUAUUGGUCAUGUUCACAAUGACCGUUUUCCUAUUGGUCAUGUUCACAAUGACCUGUCUAUGGUCAUGGUCACAAUGCACCUUUUCCAUUGGUCAUGGUCACAAUGACCUUUUCCUAUUGGUCAUGGUCACAAUGACCUUUUCCUAUGGGUCAUGGUCACAAUGACCUUUUCCUAUUGGUCAAGUACAGAGACUACCGAGCCGCCUUUAUCCUCCAUCUACCUCCUACCCUCUUUAUCCCUGCAUCAACAUCCAUCUC